UACGUAGGUGGCAAGCGUUGUCCGGAAUUAUUGGGCGUAAAGCGCGCGCAGGCGGUCCUUUAAGUCUGAUGUGAAAGCCCACGGCUCAACCGUGGAGGGUCAUUGGAAACUGGGGGACUUGAGUACAGAAGAGAAGAGUGGAAUUCCACGUGUAGGCGAUGAAUGCGUAGAGAUGUGGAGGAACACCAGUGGCGAAGGCGACUCUUUGGUCUGUAACUGACGCUGAGGCGCGAAAGCGUGGGGAGCAAACAGG
rnacentral:rRNA from 1 species